CAUGGCUCUUUGAUUAAAUAUAAUAAAGAGUCGGACCUGCCCAGUGAAAUAUUUUAACGGCCGCGGUACUCUGACCGUGCAAAGGUAGCAUAAUCAUUUGCCCUAUAAUUGGGGGCUGGUAUGAAUGGUUUGACAAGAGCAAUUCUGUCUCUAUAUAAUUUUAUAAAAUUUAAUUUUCAGCUGAAGAAGCCUGAAUUUAAUUAAAAGACAAGAAGACCCUAUCGAGCUUUAAAACAGUUAAAAGAUAUUAAGUGUAUUUAUACAACUACAACUUUUAAAAAUUUUGGUUGGGGCGACCUAGGAACAAAUAAAGCUUCUUUUUGUAAAAAAAUACACAUAUUUUGAUCCAAAAAUUUUGAUUGAAGAAAUUAGUUACCGUAGGGAUAACAGCAUAAUCUUUUUUGAGAGCUCUUAUCGAAAAAAAGGCUUGUGACCUCGAUGUUGGACCAAAAUAUCCCAAAGAUGCAACCGUCUUUAAGGGUUGGUCUGUUCGACCAUUAAAAUUUUACGUGAUCUGAGUUCAGACCGGCGUGAGCCAGGUCAGUUUCUAUCUUUAAUUAUCAAAAAUAAAUUCAGUACGAAAGGACCAAUUUUAUAGUAUUUUAUACUAACAAAGAACGAAUAUAAUUUUAUAAUUAAAAAAUUAAAUCAAAUUAGCAAAGAUAUGCAAUUGAUUUAGGAUCAAUAGAUAUAGGUGAAAACCCUUUAUUUGAUAGUUGCAGGUAUAUAAAGAUGGCAGAUGAAGUGCAUUAGG
rnacentral:rRNA from 1 species